ensembl:lncRNA
GUUUGCACCACCUUGUUUUUUCUUUUUUUAAUCUUUCUCUUUUCUUUUUCUUGUUCAUGCAUUUCUUUUUCUUUUUUCUGUUUAACAGAUUAGACUUCUGUUAUCACACAUUGAGGGGCUUUUGAGUGGCAGUGAGAGUUGUAUUCUAUCCUUUAAUACUUUACCAGAUGUAUGACCCUGGGCAGUAAGGGAGAAGUUACUUCACCUGUGUUAGAAAUGGGCAUAAAAAUGAGCCUGUUACUAAAUUACGAAGCACCGGAGUGAUGCAUUAAAUAGUGCCUACAGAUGCUGUUAACGUAAUGAAACCAAGCCUUCAUCUACUUAAAACAUCUUGAGUCAGCUUGGAAAAAAACAGAGAUGGAAAUGCACAAGAGCUUGGAUAUGCAAAUAACGUUUCCCAGCCUUUUGUGGCACAUUUCAAAUUUGGCUCUGUGCAAUUUGAUACAGUGUCACACUUGGUGCGUGCCAGUUUUGUGCCUGAAGUAUAAGAGCCGGGGAACCGUACCAGCUCAGACCUCCAAGGAAGAAGCUUUUGCAGGAAUCCAUGACCACACAGAAAGAAAAUGGACACAGCAACCUUGUCUCCCAAAGGUAUGUGAGAUUUCUCACCUUCUGAAAAUCCUGCUUGAACUUCUGCUUCAUUCCACUGGUUUCCCAAGUUGGUGCUGUACUUUCCUGAUUUGCUGCAGAAGGAUUGCCAUCUCAGCUCAUCUGCACUGUUUAAACGUGCCUGCAAUUUACUUCUUCUGACGUAUCCUUAAUGCAAGUCCUGGUGUGCCACUGUCACCUUGAAUUAUGCUUAUUUUGAAAGUUCGUGGACAUCCCUGUUGUGCCCUCCUAGGGAAAAGCACUUUGGGACUGACUGCUGAGAAUCUGCAUUGGAGUGUUUACUUUGCUACAAGUCCAGCAGCUCUGUGGGCUGAAACUUGAGGGGAGGCUACCAAGUCUCCUUUAGAAACAAAUGGGACUUGAGCCAUGCGACUUCCUAGGCAACAUAGUAGAGCCUGCAGAGCUCAGGGCUGUUAUGUUAAUUCAGGCAAGUAUCCAUUUAUGGGACAAUGUAAUGAUGAGGGUUUGUGCCAGCACGGUUUGUUUUGGAUGGAUUAUUGUCCAUGGUGCCACUGGGUUCUGACAACACUCGUAACAGUGCAGUUGGCCUGCAAAUAUCAGCUGAAAGUUUAUGCCAUACCAAUUUCAGAGGGAUUGAAAAAGCCAUAAAGAAGUGUGAAACUCAACAUCCUGACAUAUGGGCUGUGGCCUAUGAGAACCACAAGUCUCCAAACUGCACCAAUGCUUUGGCUCUUCCUCACUGCCAGAAUGAGCCUUUGGCGUCUUAGUGUGGCUCAGAUGAAAUCAGCCUUAGACUGCUCUCAUUUACACCUUGGUCAUAAUUCACUUGUCCAUCCCAGAAAUAGGUUAUUCCCCCACCUUUCCCAUUCUGUCUCAAUCUGUCAUGAGCGUCUUUAAAGCCAUGCCGGCCAAACACAGUUUUGCUAACAGCACCCUUACGGGAAGGUUAUUGGAGCUGCUGAGUCUUCCAAACCACUUCUUCUUUGCAAUGAUCAAUGCAGUUUUGUUUUGUUUUGUUUUGUUUUUAUCAAAACCUGGGAAGCCAGCAUAAAUGAAAGAUCCCAGUAACUUACAGUGUUGCAGAAGUCACACGCAAUGCAUUUUUAAGGCAAAUUGAAAACAUUUCUAGAGAUGGAACCAGUACCUGAAUCUCCUCUCCACUCACCUCUAUUUAGAGAUACACUGGUCUGUUGGAUUUAAAAUGUGUCGCCAACAUACUUGGGAAGAAUCUCAUCUGGGCUUCCAUGCUGAUGGGAAUUUCUCUGAGUCAGUGGGAAAUUUGCCUUGACUUCAUGGCAACUGGAUCAGGCUUUCUACUACUAAAUAAAGAAACCCAUUUUCUAGGCUUUUAGCA